UACAGAGGGGGCAAGCGUUGUUCGGAAUUACUGGGCGUAAAGGGCGCGUAGGCGGCCUGCUAAGUCGAACGUGAAAUCCCUGGGCUCAACCCAGGAACUGCGUCCGAUACUGGGAGGCUUGAAUCCGGGAGAGGGAUGCGGAAUUCCAGGUGUAGCGGUGAAAUGCGUAGAUAUCUGGAGGAACACCGGUGGCGAAGGCGGCAUCCUGGACCGGUAUUGACGCUGAGGCGCGAAAGCCAGGGGAGCAAACGGG
rnacentral:rRNA from 1 species